rnacentral:rRNA from 1 species
AGGAAUAUUGGUCAAUGGCCGCAGGGCUGAACCAGCCAAGUCGCGUGAGGGAUGACGGUCCUAUGGAUUGUAAACCUCUUUUGUCAGGGAGCAAAGGGCGCCACGUGUGGCGCUUUGCGAGUACCUGAAGAAAAAGCAUCGGCUAACUCCGUGCCAGCAGCCGCGGUAAUACGGAGGAUGCGAGCGUUAUCCGGAUUUAUUGGGUUUAAAGGGUGCGCAGGCGGAAUGUCAAGUCAGCGGUAAAAUUUCGGGGCUCAACCCCGUCGUGCCGUUGAAACUGGCGUUCUUGAGUGAGCGAGAAGUAUGCGGAAUGCGUGGUGUAGCGGUGAAAUGCAUAGAUAUCACGCAGAACUCCGAUUGCGAAGGCAGCAUACCGGCGCUCAACUGACGCUCAUGCACGAAAGCGUGGGUAUCGAACAGGAUUAGAUACCCUGGUAGUCCACGCAGUAAACGAUGAAUACUAACUGUCCGGGCAGAAUGAUGCCUGGGUGGUACAGCGAAAGCGUUAAGUAUUCCACCUGGGGAGUACGCCGGCAACGGUGAAACUCAAAGGAAUUGACGGGGGCCCGCACAAGCGGAGGAACAUGUGGUUUAAUUCGAUGAUACGCGAGGAACCUUACCCGGGCUCAAACGACGGAUGAAUGUUUUUGAAAGGAGGCAGUCCUACGGGACAUCCGUCGAGGUGCUGCAUGGUUGUCGUCAGCUCGUGCCGUGAGGUGUCGGCUUAAGUGCCAUAACGAGCGCAACCCCCAUCGCCAGUUACCAGCAAGUAAAGUUGGGGACUCUGGCGAGACUGCCGGCGCAAGCUGUGAGGAAGGCGGGGAUGACGUCAAAUCAGCACGGCCCUUACGUCCGGGGCGACACACGUGUUACAAUGGCAGGUACAGAGAGAUGCGAUGCGGCGACGCAGAGCGGAACUUCAAAGCCUGUCUCAGUUCGGAUUGGAGUCUGCAACCCGACUCCAUGAAGCUGGAUUCGCUAGUAAUCGCGCAUCAGCCACGGCGCGGUGAAUACGUUCCCG